rnacentral:lncRNA from 1 species
AAAGUUGCAAAUUUACUUCAUCUCCACAUUUUUUUGGACUGAACGUGCCACAAUUUUUGACCUGUCCAGGUGUUGCAAGCAAAGUUCCUGGAAAGUAAACUUUAGAUUUGUCAUCUCCCCGUUUCGAAAAAAGAUUUGUCAUCUCCACACUUUUUUUCUGAACUAUACUAGCCACAUAAUUUACAUAAACUUUUUUCACAUGCGAAUAUGAACAACAACCAAAAAUGAUUUGAGCAACUCACAAGCACAAAAUACAAUGCAAUUCUUUCCACACAUUUGUGACGACGUCUUCAUUUUUAGCAGAUGAGAUAGUAGUACAGGUGUUUAGGUUCAGUUUAAAAAAGAAGAGAAAGGUGGAAACAUAGUAGUUAUAAUUCUUGUAGGCAUUUCAACAAACAGUGGAGGGUCACCCAGGGGAAGAAGAAAUUGGGAUCAUGCAUCAACCUGGACUGUUGUGUGUGCUCGACUUGGAAGGCUGUGCAGCACGUGGUAAAGAUGGUGGACACGAUUCUACUUGGACUGUUGUCCGCGCUCCACUUCGACGGCUGCCAGUAACCAUGGUGGAUGAGCUCGUGGUCGAGGGCGGCAAAGGCGACCACCGGGGACUGUAGGUGGUCAAGCUUGUUCUUGACAGCGAACUCACAACGAGGCAACGGUGAAUGGCCUCGGCCGGCGGUGUUGGACCGUGGACGCAACGGUGCCAGACCACUCACCGGGACGAGGCGGAGUGGCGGCGGGGAGCAUCGCCGAGGGCAGCCAGAAGGUUGCACCUUUAUUCAUGUUUUCAGUUCAAAGUUUUUUAAGAAAUAACUGAACCAAAUGAUCUUGAGCUGAUGAAAAGGAUGCAUCUUGACCUGAUGUAAAUUAGCACCAUAUAAUAUAACACUAUUUUUUCAUAUGAGGCAAGACAACUAAGAUUGAGAGAAUACACUGAGCAUCAUGUUUAAUUCUCAGGUCAGUGGUCAAAUACUUAUGGCAAGUAUAUUUGAACUAAUGUAUCCUUUUUCUAGUUACCGAAUUGCUAACCACCCCAAAUAAACUCCUAACUACUUAUGGCAAGUAUUUUUUGAACUGAUGUAUAUUAUUUCUAGUUAAUAAGUUGCUAUACCACAAGACUGCAUCCUUAGAAGUGAAACGCCAACAUCAUUGGUUGUGUAAAAACACUCAAAAGAAUUGC